AUGAGUUCACCGGUCAAUUCCUUCGAUCUUGUCUUCAACCUCCGAGUAGAGCUCCCUGAGCCUUUCCAAGUUAUCCUCUGAUGUCUCCCAGUAGCCCCUGCCAUUUGCUUCUAGGAAGGUUUGAAGCAGUUUCCUGAACGAAUUGGGGUUGGUGUCCAUCAGCCUCUUCCUCAUCUCUUCAUCUUCAAUGAAUGUGGUAUUUGCUUCCUCGUAAACCCAGUUGUCCACCUGCCCGGAUGUUGCACUCCAUCCAACAGUAUUUGUCAGCCGCUUCUCGAUCUCUCUAACUCCCUCAUAGCCACUCUUCAUCAUCCCCUCGUACCACCUAGGGUUCAGUAGCUUUGUCCUUGCAUCAAGACGCACCGUCUCCGACAAUGUCCGCACCUGUGCAUUUGCCGUGGUUGUGUCUGCUAUGUACGAUGAAGGUGCCCGCCCAUCCUUCCGCAGCCCUUGCACCAGCUUCGUCGGGUCUGAGUCGAAGUAGUGGCUGACAUCCGUCAGUGAGAUCUCCGACGAGUCCAGGUUUUGGAAUGUGGCAUCUGCUGUUGCUAGAGCAAGCUCAAACGUCUUGCGUUUCUCUAGCAUGCCUACCCCUGGAGCAUCACUGUCGAACGCAAAAGACUUGCGGCUCAGGUACAUGUCCUGGAGCUGCUUCUCAUCUGUCCAUGA
rnacentral:rRNA from 1 species